rnacentral:rRNA from 1 species
UAAGCGGAGGAAAAGAAACUAACAAGGAUUCCCCUAGUAACGGCGAGUGAAGCGGGAAGAGCUCAAAUUUGAAAUCUGGUAGCCUUCGGUUGCCCGAGUUGUAAUCUAGAGAAGUGUUUUCCGUGCCGGCCCAUGUACAAGUCCCUUGGAACAGGGCGUCAUAGAGGGUGAGAAUCCCGUCCUUGACAUGGACCCCCGGUGCUUUGUGAUACACUUUCAACGAGUCGAGUUGUUUGGGAAUGCAGCUCAAAAUGGGUGGUGAAUUCCAUCUAAAGCUAAAUAUUGGCGAGAGACCGAUAGCGAACAAGUACCGUGAGGGAAAGAUGAAAAGCACUUUGGAAAGAGAGUUAAACAGUACGUGAAAUUGUUGAAAGGGAAACGAUUGAAGUCAGUCAUGCUCUUGGGACUUACCUCCCUUGAGUGGGGUCAACAUCAGUUUUGAUCGAUGGAUAAAGGCACGGGGAAGGUAGCACUCUCGGGUGAACUUAUAGCCUCGCGUCAUAUACAUUGAUUGGGACUGAGGAACGCAGCAUGCCUUAUGGCCGGGAUUCGUCCACGUACAUGCUAG